rnacentral:lncRNA from 1 species
AUAAGUACAUCCACAUUUGUCCUGAGUGUUUCUGCCCAUGGGUUCCUAUGAAUUCCCCAUAUCCCUCUUUGUCCUAUGUACACCUGCUUAUUUGGAUGGACCCUCAUGAGUCUUCUGUAGGUUUGGGAGGUCCUGUGUGCUCACUCCCUCAAUCUCCCCAUUCUCCUGUCUCCAUACACCUGCCCUGAAGAGGCCUCAACAUUGUACUGGUCAGCCGAGAUCUAAACAAGUUACGUCGGGAGGCAGAGGACAUUGGUGAGGGCCGAACUAGAAAGGAGGGGCGUGGGUGAGAAGUGAGGCUGCUCAAGGUUCCAUGAUGGGACAUGGAAUCAAAAGACCCAGGUUCAACACAGCUCUGCUACAUACUAGCUAUGUGUGAGCCCCAGCUAGUCAGUCCCAUGUCUUCUCUGGGCCUUUCCUCAUCUAUAUAAUAAGGAGUAGCAGUAAUCUUCCAAUUCUGAAUUUUCUGAGUUUUCCUACAGAGAGACUCCGUGGUAAGGAAACAAGAGUCAUCCAAGUGGACUUCACUGGAGGCCUAGAGGUCUAUGAGACAGGUGAGAGAGCCUUGGAGGGCCUAGAGAUCGGCAUUCUAGUCAAUGCUGUUGGCAUAACUCCCACGCAAGUCCUGCAGAAGCUAAUGGCUUUGAAGAACACAGGCAAGGUAGAGGAAGCUACACCUCGCCCCCCCAACUCAUGCCUUUUCCCAUUUCUCUGACUUUUUCCAUCUCUUCUUCUCCCCUCCCUAUUCCUGCCCUCUUUAUCUGCCCCUUCCCUCAUCACCCC